rnacentral:rRNA from 1 species
GGGCGCUAUGGUAAGACGUCAAUCACCCGAUCCCGUUCUGCGCUCGAUAUGUGAGUCUUACGCCAUAUGUACUGAGAUUUCUCGGGAGACAUGGUCCUUGCCC